AUACUUACCUGGCAGGGGAGACACCAUGAUCACAAAGGUGGUUUCCCAGGGCGAGGCUGAUCCAUUACACUCCAGAUGUGCUGUCCCCUGAGAUUUCCCCAAAUGUGGGAAACUCGAUUGUAUAAUUUGUGGUAGUGGGGGACUGCAUUUGCAUUCUCCCC
rnacentral:snRNA from 1 species